AAAUUUUCCAAUUUUUCCUUUGAAACUCUCCGAAUUUGUCAUAAAAUGACUUUUUACCAAGAAGAAUGUAAACAAGCCGCCAUAAUGCCAACAGCCGAGUAGCAUCAGUCAACUUUAGGCGAAAUCAGAAAAUACAUGACUGUUGUUCCGUUGGAUCCCCGAGAAUUAGAUGUGCCUCACUGAAAACCCAACGUGCUCGGUCUCUAUUUGUCUCUG